GACGAACGCUGGCGGCGUGCUUAACACAUGCAAGUCGAACGGUGAAGCUCCAGCUUGCUGGAGUGGAUCAGUGGCGAACGGGUGAGUAACACGUGAGCAACCUGCCCCUGACUCUGGAAUAAGCGCUGGAAACGGCGUCUAAUACUGGAUACGAGAAGGGUCCGCAUGGGCACUUUCUGGAAAGUUUUUCGGUUGGGGAUGGGCUCGCGGCCUAUCAGCUUGUUGGUGAGGUAAUGGCUCACCAAGGCGACGACGGGUAGCCGGCCUGAGAGGGCGACCGGCCACACUGGGACUGAGACACGGCCCAGACUCCUACGGGAGGCAGCAGUGGGGAAUAUUGCACAAUGGGCGAAAGCCUGAUGCAGCGACGCCGCGUGAGGGAUGACGGCCUUCGGGUUGUAAACCUCUUUCAGCAGGGAAGAAGCGAAAGUGACGGGACCUGCAGAAGAAGCACCGGCUAACUACGU
rnacentral:rRNA from 1 species